rnacentral:rRNA from 1 species
UCCAGAGACUGCAAGCGUUAUUCGGAUUCACUGGGCGUAAAGGGUGCGCAGGCGGCCAAGUGUGUUAGGCGUGAAAGCCUGAGGCUUAACCUCAGAAUUGCACCUAAAACUACAUGGCUAGAGCAUUGGAGAGGGUAGCGGAAUUCACGGUGUAGCAGUGAAAUGCGUAGAUAUCGUGAGGAACACCAGAGGCGAAGGCGGCUACCUGGACAAUUGCUGACGCUCAGGCACGAAAGCGUGGGGAGCAAAAGGG